GGCCGGGGGAAUUCGAUUCAGGCCUAACACAUGCAAGUCGAGCGGUAGAGAGAAGCUUGCUUCUCUUGAAAGAGGCGGACGGGUGAGUAAUGCCUAGGAAUCUGCCUGGUAGUGGGGGAUAACGUUCGGAAACGGACGCUAAUACCGCAUACGUCCUACGGGAGAAAGCAGGGGACCUUCGGGCCUUGCGCUAUCAGAUGAGCCUAGGUCGGAUUAGCUAGUUGGUGAGGUAAUGGCUCACCAAGGCUACGAUCCGUAACUGGUCUGAGAGGAUGAUCAGUCACACUGGAACUGAGACACGGUCCAGACUCCUACGGGAGGCAGCAGUGGGGAAUAUUGGACAAUGGG
rnacentral:rRNA from 1 species